GGUGAAUAAGCAUUUAUCGUGAUUUGUUACCGUUGAAUAUAUAAAUUUCUAUGCAAAGGAGACUGGAACUUCAAUUUUAAAUGAGCUCUCUUAGUCUUAGAUCUACCUGCCCUUUAAUUACCCGUGGAGACAGGGCAUUAAAGUUGUGAUCCGAGGACCACUUUAUAACCUCAGGUGCCUUUCCAUAAGUUCAAAAGGUUCUGAAGUUGUUGGUGUGGUCGGACGUGAGGUGUGUCAGCG
rnacentral:misc_RNA from 1 species